rnacentral:sRNA from 1 species
AAAAAAGAACGGGAACUAAAUUGUAAGUAAGCUCAUUUCAUUUUGUAAAUAUACGAAUGACAAACAUAAAAUCAAUGCAUCAACAUUUCGAUUAAAUUAUAUGGUAUUUAGGAAGUUUUUUGUUUUGUUUGGUAUGGUAUGAAUGCAGGACUAAGAAUGGGAUAGAGGAGAUGUGUAGGGAUCUAUGGAAUUGGGCAAGCAAUAACCCUUACGGCUACAAUUCCUCCUCCAGUGGCUCCUCUUCAUAAUCCUCUUCAACAAACACAAAAGAGAGAGGCUGACAACAAGUACAAAAACUUUUGAAGAAAUUGGGGAAAAUUCUUGUACUAUUAAUUUAUCAUUGAAACUAUAUUUUAUUCUUUUCCAAAAAAAA